rnacentral:lncRNA from 10 species
ACUGCGCGCCAGGCCAGGUUCCUGAGAGCAGACAGCGCGGGCUGGGAGCGCCGGCAAGGGCGGCCCUCGCGCACCUGGCUGCCAGCCCGCAGGGGGCUCGCACGCAGACCUGCCCUUGCCACCUCAGCGCUCGGGUGCGGGCUGGGGGCGGUGGAGCCACGAAAGGUGGUGCCGAGAGCGGAGCGCAGGACAGCGCAGGAGCCCCGGCGCAUCGCGGCGCGCACAGACCCAGGAUUUGUGAAGAGGUGACCCAAAUUUCAAGACAAUGUUGGAUGCAAACGGAUUUGCCAGCAACUGCAUCACUGUCAAAACCAGCUCUGCCCGUGUCUUCCGAAGAUACCAAGUGAAAUACAUGUAGAUGGGAUUUACAUCUGAAAAACCAAGUGAGAAACUGAAGACCAGAGAGGGUGAGUGGUUUACUCAGUUUGGCACAACUGACCCCAACCUAGCCCUCCAUGAGGACUGAGCGCAUGAGAGAUCCUGAGCCACAGCCGCCCAGCCCUGCUCCUCUCGAAUUUCUGACCUACAGGAACUGCAAGAAGUAAUGAAAGACUGCUGUUUAAAGCCACUGCAUUUUGGCAUGAUUUGUUAUGCAGUCGUAGAUAACCAGAAAACAUCGGAUUUACAUUUUAAGGAUUACUUCAUGCACAUAAAAGAAAACGCAACUACAGUGGACCCUGAACAACGUAGCUAUGGCCUGCAGCCACUGAAGAAUGCUUGCAUAAGGAGCU